CGCGUAGGUGGUUUGGUCAGUCAGAUGUGAAAGCCCCGGGCUCAACCUGGGAACUGCACCUGAUACUGCCAAACUAGAGUACGGUAGAGGGUAGUGGAAUUUCCGGUGUAGCGGUGAAAUGCGUAGAGAUCGGAAGGAACACCAGUGGCGAAGGCGACUACCUGGACCAAUACUGACACUGAGGUGCGAAAGCGUGGGUAGCAAACA
rnacentral:rRNA from 1 species